rnacentral:tRNA from 1 species
GGGUGCGAGCACGUUGGUGUAUUUAACCUUGCAAAGGUUAAAUAGAGUUGGGAAACUCCGCAUCUU